rnacentral:rRNA from 1 species
UCUACCUACGGGGGGCAGCAGUGGGGGAUAUUGCACAAUGGGGGAAACCCUGAUGCAGCGACGCCGCGUGAGUGAAGAAGUAAUUCGUUACGUAAAGCUCUAUCAGCAGGGAAGAAAAUGACGGUACCUGACUAAGAAGCCCCGGCUAACUACGUGCCAGCAGCCGCGGUAAUACGUAGGGGGCAAGCGUUAUCCGGAAUUACUGGGUGUAAAGGGAGCGCAGACGGCAGUGCAAGUCUGGAGUGAAAGCCCACGGCCCAACCGUGGGACUGCUCUGGAAACUGUGCGGCUUGAGUGCGGGAGGG